rnacentral:tRNA from 1 species
CGAUGUCCGUGGCCGGAGGCGUGCGGCCGCUCGGCCUGCAACGCCGUGGCCGACGGCCCCGAGACCGGCGGACCUUGG